CGAUUGCCUUGUUCAUCCUUAUCCUUGGUGCUGGGCUAGACGCAAGAUGUGCGGAAACUCCUAAGACAGGCCUGCCCUCAAGGCACUCGCAGACCGCAGGGAGACAGGAAUAACAAGCUCUGUGAUAAGCCCUGGCCAAGCCCCACCCAGGAGAUAUGCCAUGGAAACGGGAUGCCUGGGUGGCAGGGAUCUUUGAAUGGUUGACCCCAUAUUACGUCUACCUGCCUGAUGAAGGAAAGCCAAAAGACACCUCAAGUCAAAGCUUCGUCUCCAUUCUUUGUUCUCUGGCUUCUGAAAGCUCCUCUGCCUCCCUCCCCGCCCCCAGUGUUACAUGCUGGGGUGUUUGCUGUCUGGUGUCUAACACCUGGGUGCCACCCAUCAAGUCUGCGCCAUUCCCGGAGCAGCCACAGCCACGCAUUUCCUGUCUCCUCCACCAGGGGGAGCUCCUUGAGGACAGAGGCGGCCCCUCUUUCCUCACUGCACCUGCUCCAUACCUAGCCCCUUGCAAGGGUCAUCAACGCAUACGCUCAAGGUUGUCCAGCAAUGCUGAAGUGUGCCCAGACCCCGUGGGGACGGACUAGUGAUCCCAUUGGUGGUGAUGCUGCACUCUGUGUGGACACUCUCACUUUUAUUUUCAGCCUGACUAACUCCUGAUCCUAACACCCUUGAGCCCCUCAGUUUGUUAAGCUAGAAAACGGAGAGAUGGAGUCGUCUAGAAGCUAAGAUGACCACAGUCUGUUACUCAAGUGUUCCCAGCCUGCACCUGGAGAAGUGGACACUUGCAGGUGAGUGCUUCCAUUUGUCUGUGCUUGGGUGAAGGUGCCAGGACUUCCUCUCCCACUGUUCUGCCACCUCCCACCCAGACCAGAUGAGCACUUGCAUCUUGGACGAGGGUAUGUGAGCAGGAGCGAGAUUACUGAGGCUGUGGGG
rnacentral:lncRNA from 1 species